GGAUUGCCUUAGUAACUGCGAGUGAACUGGCAAAAGCCCAGACUGGUAAUCGCUUCGGCGAAUUGUACAGUUUAGACAUGUGUCUUAAAUGGAUCGCAGGCGUAACUUGGCUGGAAUGCCAGACCGAAGAAGGUGAUAGUCCUGUGCCGCCUGUGUGAAGUGAAAGACUGUGUUCAAUGAGUCGGACAGUUUGGGAUUGCUGUCCUAAGUGGGAGGUAGACUUCUUCUAAGGCUAAAUACUGACGAGAGACCGAUAGCGAACAAGUACUGUGAAGGAAAGAUGAAAAGAACUUUGAAAAAAGGGUUAAAAUACUUGAAAUCGCUGUGGAGGAAGCUAUGAGUUCGGCUUUGCUGCAAGUGGAACUGCUGGUACGCCGGUGGGGGAGCUUGUAGGAAAACUCAGCUAAUGUUAAGAUUUGUGUGCCCCGAUGCUGUUAGCUAGGUAGGUCACAAAUUGAAGCGUUUUCUGAGUAGCUGGACCCAUUGACCCGUCUUGAAACACGGACCAAGGAGUCUAACAUGUGUGCGAGUAGUCGGGUGUAAACCUUACUGCGUAACGAAAGUGAGCCUUGCGAAAUUAGCAGCAAGGGCCGCAUUAGCGAGCUCAGCACUUAUGUUGGGACCCGAAAGAUGGUGAACUAUGCUUGGGAAAGGCGAAGCCAGGGGAAACUCUGGUGGAGGCUUGU
rnacentral:rRNA from 1 species